GAAUAGUGCUGUUAACUACAGAAUUUUGUCUUCUGAAUAGUUAUGUAACAUUCGAAUAACGAUUAUCAACAGACACUUGUGACUUUUUUCGAUCUAUUGUACUGUGAAUAUUGUCUCUGUAUGUAGUACUCCUUCGGAGAAUAAUCUGAGAAUAAUAUUUAAUUCAAAAGUAAAUGAAAUGUUUAAAAGAAUCUUAAUAAAUCAUUAAUAAUAUACAUAUGUAAAUAUUUAUUUAAAAUAUUAGACAUAGGUGACUCUGAGUACCAGCCGUAUUAAAUAUGGCAACCAUAAUCUAUAAACAGGUUUCGACACUCGCUAGGGGAACAGUUCAAAAAUUGAAUUGUGUCACUUGUGAAAGGUCAACAAAGUCUGUAUUCUUACGAGACAGUUAAAUACCACUAAUGUCUGCUAAGACAUUCAUAGCAUGUCAUGCAUACGCACAACGAGAACCUUCUUGUCUUCCAUGUUGAUUUUUUACUAGAUUUUUUGGAUGAUGUUACCUAGGCUUCGAUAUAUGAGUGUUGAGAGACUUUAUUUGAGACUUGUUUGUAUGAUCGUGAUGACAACAGUGCGAGAGUUUGAUUUCGAUGCAUAAUCACCUCAAUAUUAACAUAACUUAACCUAAUAACCUAUUCUGUACGAAGCUGGAAAGGAAUCUCGUUGGAUGGCACAAGGACAAAGGAGAUAAUACUCUCAUCGUUCACCGUCACGAGUUGCUAUAUUGUUUUAUUUGUAUAUGUGAUACUUUUGACCAUAGAAUGCUUUCGGUCAACGCGCGUGCUUAUCUCUAUGAUUGUAUUGAGUUUAUCAGAAAUAACCAAUCGAAUCACGUUCUUUCCAGAAGACUUCUUCUCCUGUUUAUAGUCAGUAUGGCUCCCCACGCUUUUAUGAAAUGUUUAUUUGGGUAGAAUAGAGAUGAGAAAUUGGUUAAUGGAAAGAGACAGAAGCAAGAGAGCCAAUACACGUGCUUAUCUUAAUGAUUGUAUUGGGUCUACCAGAAAUAAGCAAUCAGAUACGUGUUCCUAUGCCUAAUUCACGGUCAUAUAAGUGCUUUUUGAGAGACGCUAGGAAAAACCGUCCGAAAAUUAAGUCAUGAUAGUCGUGAAAAAUCAACAUGGACGGUCAACAAAGUCCGCAUUCGUGCGACACAAAACAAGAAUGAGUAAAAUGUCUCUAUCUCUGUCUAAGAUAUUCACAGUAUGUCACAUAUGCGCAGAAUUCCUUAUUCACGUUAGUUAACUGAUUUCUAUUAUGGUAUGAUUAAGUUAACAACUUAAUGUUCCAAAUGAAAAUGGGUUAGCUGACCUAUCUGGAUCUCAAUCAAGUAAUACAGAUGACUGUGAUACAAAAUAGUAUAGUUAGAGGAACCACAGGUUCCAUUGACUCCACUGGCUCUACAAAUGUUAUGGGUGGUCAAGAAGGUGGUAUGGCACAACAAACUCAACCACCUGUUCCAAGUCAAGCUCAACCUUAGUCUGGUGCACUAAGUGGAGGUCAACCUGGAUCACAACAAGCUACUCAGGAUUAAAUAACUGGUAUUGAUACUUCAAUCG